rnacentral:rRNA from 1 species
AUUGAACGCUGGCGGCAGGCCUAACACAUGCAAGUCGAGCGGAUGAAGGGAGCUUGCUUCUGGAUUCAGCGGCGGACGGGUGAGUAAUGCCUAGGAAUCUGCCUGGCAGUGGGGGAUAACGUCCGGAAACGGGCGCUAAUACCGCAUACGUCGUGAGGGAGAAAGUGGGGGAUCUUCGGACCUCACGCUAUCAGAUGAGCCUAGGUCGGAUUAGCUAGUUGGCGGGGUAAAGGCCUACCAAGGCGACGAUCCGUAACUGGUCUGAGAGGAUGAUCAGUCACACUGGAACUGAGACACGGUCCAGACGACUACGGGAGGCAGCAGAGGGGUAUAUUAGACAGUGGGCGAAAGCCUGAUCCAACCAUGCCGAGUGUGUGGAGAAGGUCUUCGGAUUGUAAAGCACUUUAAGUUGGGAGGAAGGGCAGUAAGUUAAUACCUUGCUGUUUUGACGUUACCAACAGAAUAAGCACCGGCUAACUUCGUG